UACGGAGAGGGCAAGCGUUGUUCGGAUUUAUUGGGCGUAAAGCGCGCGUAGGUGGCAUGGUAAGUCGAAUGUUAAAGACCCACGGCUCACCCGGGGGUAUGCGUCCGAUACUGCCGUGCUAGAGUGCGGGAGAGGAAAGUGGAAUUCCUGGUGUAGCGGUGAAAUGCGUAGAUAUCAGGAGGAACACCGGUGGCGAAGGCGGCUUUCUGGCCCGCAACUGACACUGAGGCGCGAAAGCGUGGGGAGCGAA
rnacentral:rRNA from 1 species